GCCUGCUUAGCUCAGAGGUUAGAGCAUCGCAUUUGU
rnacentral:tRNA from 1 species